rnacentral:pre_miRNA from 1 species
CAAGUACUCCCUCCGUCCGGAAAUACUUGUCCUAGGAAUGGAUGAAUCUAGACUUAUUUUAAUUAUAGAUACAUCAAAGAUAUCCAUUUUUAAGACAAGUAUUUCCGGAUGGAGGGAGUAUGCA